rnacentral:rRNA from 1 species
UGCAAGUCGAGCGGACAGAUGGGAGCUUGCUCCCUGAUGUUAGCGGCGGACGGGUGAGUAACACGUGGGUAACCUGCCUGUAAGACUGGGAUAACUCCGGGAAACCGGGGCUAAUACCGGAUGGUUGUUUGAACCGCAUGGUUCAAACAUAAAAGGUGGCUUCGGCUACCACUUACAGAUGGACCCGCGGCGCAUUAGCUAGUUGGUGAGGUAAUGGCUCACCAAGGCAACGAUGCGUAGCCGACCUGAGAGGGUGAUCGGCCACACUGGGACUGAGACACGGCCCAGACUCCUACGGGAGGCAGCAGUAGGGAAUCUUCCGCAAUGGACGAAAGUCUGACGGAGCAACGCCGCGUGAGUGAUGAAGGUUUUCGGAUCGUAAAGCUCUGUUGUUAGGGAAGAACAAGUACCGUUCGAAUAGGGCGGUACCUUGACGGUACCUAACCAGAAAGCCACGGCUAACUACGUGCCAGCAGCCGCGGUAAUACGUAGGUGGCAAGCGUUGUCCGGAAUUAUUGGGCGUAAAGGGCUCGCAGGCGGUUUCUUAAGUCUGAUGUGAAAGCCCCCGGCUCAACCGGGGAGGGUCAUUGGAAACUGGGGAACUUGAGUGCAAAUAGGAGAGUGGAAUUCCACGUGUAUCGGUGAAAUGCGUAGAGAU